UUCAAUGUAAAUGCAUUUCAUUUACUCAAUUCUGUAAAGAGUAAGUAAUAAAGACACAUUAUUAAUUCAGCAGUUAUCGUGAGUCUUAGAAAAUCAUUUCUACCAACUAUAAACCAACCUAUGUCUACUGUACAAACUAAGACUUUUGUGUAUGCUAGUUUAAUGACCUAAAUUUGGGGUGCCUGGGUGGCUCAGUGGUUGAGUGGCCGACUUCGGCUCAGGUCAUGAUCUCAUGAUUCACCAAUUUGAACCCCUCAUCAGGUUAUGUACAUACUGACAUCUCAGAGCCUGGAGCCUGUUUCAUAUUCUGUGUCUCCCUCUGUCUCUCUGACACCCCCCUGCUCAUGCUCGUGUGUUCUCUCUCUCUCUCUCUCUCUCUCUCUCUCAAAAAUAAAUAAAAACAUUAAAAAAUUUGAAAAAAAUAAAUGACCUAAAAUUAAGCCAGGAUAUAUGGAAACUCUGUCACUUUCUCUCAGUUUUGCCGUGAACCUUAACCUGCUCUCACAAAGUAAAGCCUUAAUUAAAAAAUUAAGCCCAGAUUAUUAAUAAAUCAACACUUUACUACAGCAGAUAAGUUUUAAUUUUAUGUGAUACUUGAGUAAAUAGCUAAAAUGAUAAAACUAUCUUUCCCAACCAUUGAAAUUGAAAGAUUAUCUAACCUCUUCCUAACAGUGACAUUUACAUUACCAUUUUGUGCUACUUUCCAACAGAGCUGUAGUUUCAUUGACCUAUUCUCUGUGUGGCUUAUGAAGUUGGAGGAUCCAUAUCUGUACCAUUUCCUUUAUUAUUAGAAAACAAAAUUCCUUUUCUCAUAAAUAGGGUUGGAUGAUCAAAUAAGGACCUCCUAAAGGACGGAAUUCACACAAUUAAGUAGAAUUAUUCUUAAAUAUAUUGGAUGACUUAUUUCUAGAUGGUCUAAAAUCCCAACUGACCCAAUAUGUAUGUCCUCCAUACCAAUUCUGGGAAGUGGAUUCAACUCAUCCCUGCUACUUUAUAUUUUAUUUACUCUUCCUGGGAUUCUUUGGGACUUAAAAGAAAUUUGAAGGAGGUGUGGGAGGCAAAGAGUGAGGAUGGUCAGAAAGAAUAGAAAUAAACUAAAAUGGGCUUUGUCAUCAAGUAAAUUGUGGUUUUGUUUUAUUUAUCACAAAAUUGGCCUAAUUCUUUAUUUUCUCCAAAAACAAACUAAAAAAUAUGCUUAAUAUCUUCAGAAUAACAGUGUAAAUUAAAUUGUUUAUGUGACAGUGAACAACACUGGGGAGGUAAAAGAUAAUAGUAGGUACAAUUAAAUACCCUUUUCAAAUGCUUCAGUUAAGUGCAGUUUGAUGGAAAAUCUUCUAAGCUCGUCUCUCUAAUCUACAGAAUAUGAAAGAGUUGUUAAAUGUCAGUGACAGGUGUUAGGUUUAUGGAAUUGCAAAUCUAAUAAAAAAUUUUUCAGUUGGGAAUCUAUAAUUUUAAGGUUAUAAUUGUCUAUAGAUAUAUGGUCUCAGUGAAUGAAAGGCUAAUUAUUUUUAGGAAAAAAAACGCCAGAUAAAAAUUAACAAACUAGUGAAAAGAAAAAUAAGUAGGUAGGGACGCAUGGGUGGCUCAGUCGGUUGAGUCUGGAUUCUUGAUUUCACCUCAGGUCAUGAUCUCACCGUUCCUGAGAUAAAGCCCUGUGUUGGGCUCUGCCCUGGCCGCUCAGAGCCUGCUCGUGAUUCUCUCUCUCCUCUCUGCCCCUCCCUGGCUUGCACACUCACUUGCUCUCUCUCUCUCUCUCUCUGUCUCUCAAAAUAAAUAAACAUUUAAAAAAACUAAGUAGGUAACACUCUUUCCACUACAAUGUCUCAUAAUGCUGAGAUUAAAAAAAAUUAUUUAAGAGUCUAAUGAAAUUAUAAACUUCGUGUUUGAAAAUAUAUAUCACACCAAGAUGCAUAGUAGAUAUUUAAGAAUCUACUAUAAACAUAUAUCAUCAACUUGAUUUACGCUGUUUUAAAAACUCAUGACAUUCACAAUUCAAAGUAUUCUUAUUCUUGCUAAGGAAAGAGAAUUAGGCAAAACGUGAGUUGUACGUUAUCAGAAAUUUGUAUAUAAAAAGGUGAAUAUACUACGCCUUGGUUAUGGUAAUGAGAACAACUACCAGUUUCGGACAUUUACUAUGGACUUGGCACAGUGAUAUCUCGUAUCUUUUCAACAGCCCUGUGAAACGGAUGUUCAUUUUGCCGAGGAGAAAAGUGAAGCUUGGCAAAUUUAGUACAUUAUCCAAAGUGAAACAGAUAGUAAAUGGUGGAGUAAGAAUUUUAACUCCGUGUAUUCAUUCAAAAGGCUGUGUUCUUCACCAUUACAUUAUACUGUCUAAAGUCCCAACUGACCUAACAUAUAUGUCACAGUGAUUAAAUAUACAGAUGACUAUUAGGCAUUGUUCAAAAACCAUGAUAGAGUCCUUAAAAAAAUAAGACUGGCGAUAUACCGUACUGGGUGCCAGCACUUUCUGGACUUCACUUUUGACCUAUCAGGCUUAGUUAAAUUUUCACAGCUGUUUAAUUUAGUGAUGAUGGUCUACACUUAGUGGGAAUACCAUAAGGGUAAUGUUAACUGUACUUGCAAUUAUUCCCCACCAUACUACCUACGAGUUAGUACAUGAUUAUCAUUUCCAGCUUCUGAAGGAAACAAACUUUAAAAGGAAUAUAUCAUCCUGCCCUCCUUCAUUAUAAGUACUAUUUUUAAAACCAUAAGUUAUAUGACUGAUAGGAAGAUUCUACUUCUGCCUUGAAGAAACAGAUAUUCUCCAGUUUCCAACUGCAACAAGCAAUUCUAAUUUAAAAGGUAAACACAGGAUACUAUGUUCAGAAAUGGGCCUCCCUGAAUUUGAUUCUCUGAUACAUUCAACUAUGUUGAGAGGUCACUUGUUUCUGGCUAUUGUCAUUUUGGCAGUGGGAGGAGUUGGGGGAGCAUGGUCAGCAGAGUCAAAGAAUGUGCAACUCGUCUUUCAAAUGUGUGUUAAAGCAACACAGUUAACGCUCAUUUCCAAAAAAAAGAGGAAAAGAAGGCAAUCAAACUGAGAAAUUGUCGAUUGACUUAACCAGGCCUCCGUGACUCAAAGAAAGCCACCAGAGACAACUUCUUUCAUUCCUACUCAAUAUGCUAGAAUCUGCUAUGAAAGACUUAGGUUGCACAUCACCUCUGGGGAAUUGUAAGAUCUUUAAAAAACUUUCCAGUUUUUGCAGAAUUUACUUAAUUUUUCUCCACUAAGUAUUUAAGUGAAAACCAUAAGCAAAAAGAAUACAUUGACAAGUUAUUGUUCUGAAGGUCAGAAACCACCUUUUAUUACUUUUUAAACAAUGGUGUAUUACAUUUCAAAGUUCAAAGAAUCAGGAUUAUACUAAAAGUCAUAUCAGGUCAAGAUGACGGUAGGUUUCUUUCUAAAUUACAAGUCCAUAUCUUAUACCAACCUCUUGCCAGUCUCUAUAAUGUAUUGUUUUAUGUUACUGCCAUACAGUGAUAGUUUUUGUAAACUAAGACCUACUUCACUUACUUUUAAAGACAAAUGUUUGCUCAGUGUCUACAAAUGUGUGCUAACUGUAGUCCUUCAGACAUUCAUUAGUGUUCAGGAUUUGCACUUAAGGAGGACAAUGGCAUUGUAAACGAAAAUGACCAGUAGCCAAAGGGAACAUAUAAUUGUUUGUAAUUAAACAAAAGUGUUGCUGAGUUAAUCAAAUUCACAUCUUAAUAUACUUCAAAGCAUUGCUGUCUUGUCAAAAUGAAGACUUCAGUUUUCUGUCUCUUUGGAAUUUUUUUUAAUUGGUAAUGAAAACUAAGCAAAUUAUACCACUGAGAUUUUUUUUUAACCCACUGAGGUACAAUAAAUAAGCCAAGUAUGUUUUUAUCAAAGUUUUCACAGGAAUCUCCUGUUAACUUUUUCACCAGUUUCAUGAUUAACAGUUUGUACAGGCAUUAGCCUAUUUAUAGCUUUUGCUCUGCAAUGCCCUGUGCUCUUGAUCUCAUCUUUUUGAGUUACAACACAAACACUGAAACAUUACGUCCUUCCCUUGGUAACUGAAUCGUUCAUUUGAAACACCCGGGACUGGAGAGAAUUCUUUUGGGGGAAAGAGUUUUCACUGUCAUUUUUAUUUGAAUUUUUCAUUUGCUUAAAGGUGAGUCCAAAUUAAACGAAAGAACUUGAAGUGUUGACUGUCUUACUAAAAUAAAGGAACAGGCAUGAUUUCGCAGGCAAAUCCUAUUUCUGGAACCUGUGGGACAUUAUCCAGUUUCAGUGGAGUGCCUUCGUAGCUUUCCUAAACCUAAAGGACUUAUCAGCAACAUGGAGACAAUGUUGUCCUGCAUUCUUCAGUUCCAGAAGCUGGCAGAAGAAAGGCCCUAUGAGUGGUGAGCCCCUUCUUUAGCGCGCACUGGGGAGGAGGCUCCACCUGCUGCCGGCCCACCAAUACUUCCAGCUGACUGCUUUGCAGAACAGCAAAGCAUCCCAGCUAGCUUCUGUACGGGCCCACCUGAAGCACUCCUGAGAGAUUUCAUUCGAGCUACUCCAGCCUGUCCCGUGUGAAUAAGCACAGGUCCCCCACUCAGCUGGUCUCUACUCCAAGGAUCGCGUUUCAAAAUCUGUCGAAAGGAAUCAAGGAAUCAAGGUAUUUUCUUUUUCCCUGAAUCACUGGUCAGUUCUUCUCUACUCCAGUUCUUCUCUAUUAAGUGAGGACUGUGCUACCAGCCUGUGGACUCACCAUUUACAGAUCUUUUUUUUUUUUUUUCCACCGAGAUUUUGCAUGGUCAUGUAAUUGAUGCAAUUAUAAUUUCCCCUUUAAGGUCUGUCUCCACAUCCACAUUGUAAGCUCCUGUAAGCCAGUCUCUCUCGUAUAUCACCGUAUUCCGAGUGCCCAGCACAGUACCUUGAGCCCUUCAGGACACAAAACGCAUUAAUAAUCUUAGGUGGGCGAGAGAGGAGCAAAGAAACAAUACUAAUGGAUCCCUUAGUAAAAUCCAAUAGUAAAAAGACUGAGAGAGGGAAAGCUACAUGGAGAUGUACUGGAAAGAGGAGCUCCAAUGUUUUUAGGAAGAGGUCAGUGAUAGAGAAAACUCUGGCUGUGGGUGACUCAGAUCAGGCCCCUUGUCUCUUAACCAUAGAGAAUACGACUCCGAAUAUGUGAAUAUUGAGGACUGAGUAGUUGGAAGACGUUAAAACUGGUUUCGACAUUUAAAAAGAUUAGCAAAGAAGAUGAAAACUAGAAAAAUAUAUAAAACUUAAGUUGUUUCUUUUCUCUUUUCCAUCUAAAUGAGUAACCAUUAAUGCCUGAAAAGCAGCAACAAACCCGGUAUCAUGUCAUUGUAUGUUCGUUAAUUUCGAAGUGCUCUUUUUUUGUAUGCAAAACACUGUUGCCCAUGUUGCAUAAUUACCUAAUCCUACCUAGGGGGAAAAGUAAAACUAGACAGAAAAACUAAAGAGGAAGUUAAGGAUAAAUCAGAAUCCACGAUUCCCAAUUACAACUGAAAACUAUUUGAAUAUAACUCAAUAUUAUUUAUUGAUCUAUAUACUAUGGGGGCGAUUUCUCAAACUACGUACUAUUUGGUAAAAGUCUGCCAGGAGUCAAUCUGUAAGUCUGUGACAGUUCUGUUCUCUACCAGCAUCACAAAGAAAGGGUCCAGGGUGCUUAGAGUUCCCUGAAUGAAAGGCACUGUACAAGUAGAGAGUGGUGCAUGUAUUAUUAACCUUCCUGCACUUGUUUCCUCAUCUGUAAUAUGGGGUUAAUGACAUUUCUGUACCUCACAAGAAUGUUGUGCGAAUUAAUGUUUGUAAAGCCCUUUAAGAUCCGCGGAUGAAAGAUGCCAUAAAAGUCCAAAGGUGGUAAUAUUAUAGUUAUUGAAACUGGAAACACCAAUAAUGCUGGGAACUGAAUAUAUAUUUGGUUGCAAGGCACCCCGUGUAUUAUGAAUUCACAGGCACUUAUAGAACCUCACUGUUUCAAAAUUAAUGUUUUUAUACAUAUAUAUAUAUAUAUAUAUAUGAUAAAUCCCAAAGAGAUAUUACAUAUAUGUGAUAAGCCAAAUGAAUGUAAUUUGUUCAUAAGUGGCAAAAACACAGUAACGGAGUCCACGUUUCUUCCCUGUCUCUUUCUAGAAAGCACUGUAGUAGAAUACGUUGGAUCUGUACUUGAAAUUAUGUAAUGUUAGAACGGUCUGUUUAGAAGGAGGCAGUAAAUGGCAUGUUACAAAUGCUAACAUGAUCUAAUGAAAUCAUCUGUACCUCUCAAUACUGCUAUAUUUUUCUAUACACUUUGAAUCUACUUAGUUUAUAAAUAGAAAGCAAAAAACACGUAACAGAAAUCUUUUUGAAAAUGAAAAAGACAAAUUAUCAUUUGUCACCUGUUUGUCUGAACUAAUUCUAAUGUGGGCUUUAAGAAUUUUUCUAAAUGUUUAAAAAGGCAUUUUAGGGGCGCCUGGGUGGCUCAGUCAGUUAGACGUCUGACUUCGGCUCAGGUCAUGAUCUCGCGGUCCAUGAGUUCGAGCCCCGCAUCGGGCUCUGUGCUGACAGCUCAGAGCCUGGAGCCUGCUACAGAUUCUGUUUCUCCCUCUCUCUCUGACCCUCCCCCGUUCAUGCUCUGUCUCUCUCUGUCUCAAAAAUAAAUAAACAUUAAAAAAAAAUUUUUUAAAAAAUAAAAAAUAAAAAGGCAUUUUACUGAAUCACUAUAAUACGAAAAAGGAGGAGAAAGUAAGUUUUCCAAUACGGCAGCAGCAUUUUUAAAAUAUUCAAAUAUCUCAUGAAAUAUAUACAUAUAUAUAUAUCCACUCACUCACUUAACACUUCACUCAUUCUUAAUAAUUGUGUUUAUUUUUGCCA